GGGUCAAUGAUCAAACCUUUGCCUUGAUUCUAGAGAUGUGUUGUCUUAAAAGUCAUGCUCAAUAUAAUUAAGCUUAGAACCC
ensembl:snoRNA SNORD115 Small nucleolar RNA SNORD115